rnacentral:misc_RNA from 1 species
GAAAUGCGAUAAGUAAUGUGAAUUGCAGAAUUCAGUGAAUCAUCGAAUCUUUGAACGCAACUUGCGCUCUCUGGUAUUCCGGAGAGCAUGCCUGUUUGAGUGUCAUGAAAUCUCAACCAUUAGGGUUUCUUAAUGGCUUGGAUUUGGAGGUUGCCAUUCUGAAUGGCUCCUCUCAAAAGAGUUAGCGAGUUUAACUAUUGCUAUCUGGCGUAAUAAGUUUCGCUGGAAUGGUAUUGUGAAGCGCGCUUCUAAUCGUCUUCGGACAAUUACUUUGACUCUGGCCUCAAAUCAGGUAGGACUACCCGCUGAACUUAA